rnacentral:misc_RNA from 1 species
GGAGUUUUUGAAUAAUUUGUGUAAUUAUGUAAUAAAAUGUAAAGUUUUUUCAAAACAAAUGUUAUUUUUUUGCAGAUUGUGUUUUUCUAUGUAAACUGUUUCUAAUAAAAAAAGGUUAAAAAAAUUUGUGUUUUGGGAUUUUUGCAAGAAAACUUUACUUUUGCAUCCGGUGCAAUCGUUCCUUCGGUCACGCUACGCUACAGCGUGACAUAUUAUUUCUUUUGGUCGAUUCAGCAUUUGCUGUGGGUCAGUUUACACGUGCUCAAAAUGCUUCUAAUGCCGCUAGAACCUUAGCAAGAAUAGCGAUUCUUGUGGGAUGUCUGAUCAUUUGUGGGUUUAU